UACGAAGGGUACAAACGUUGCUCGGAAUUAUUGGGCGUAAAGCGCACGUAGGCGGUAUUGCAAGUCGGAUGUGAAAUCCCUCGGCUUAACCAAGGAAGUGCAUCCGAAACUGCUGUACUUGAGUACGAAAGAGGAUCGCGGAAUUCCCGGUGUAGAGGUGAAAUUCGUAGAUAUCGGGAGGAACACCUGUGGCGAAAGCGGCUCACUGGACCAUAACUGACGCUGAUGCACGAAAGCUAGGGGAGCAAACAGG
rnacentral:rRNA from 1 species